rnacentral:tRNA from 1 species
CAAAAGGUAGUUUAGUAAGAACUUUGGCUUUGGGUGCCAAUAGUAAGAACAUAGUGUUCUUUCUUUUGA